rnacentral:rRNA from 1 species
CGGGACGGGGUGGAGUAAUGUCUGGGAAACGUGCCUGAUGGAGGGGGGUAACUACUGGAAACGGUAGCUAAUACCGCAUAACGUCGCAAGACCAAAGAGGGGGACCGUUAGGCGUCUUGCCAUCGGAUGUGCCCAGAUGGGAUUAGCUAGUAGGUGGGGUAACGGCUCACCUAGGCGACGAUCCCUAGCUGGUCUGAGAGGAUGACCAGCCACACUGGAACUGAGACACGGUCCAG